AUACGUAGGGGGCGAGCGUUGUCCGGAAUGAUUGGACGUAAAGGGCGCGUAGGCGGCGCGGUAAGUCUGGAGUGAAAGUCCUGCUUUCAAGGUGGGAAUUGCUUUGGAUACUGCCGCGCUUGAGUGCAGGAGAGGUUAUCGGAAUUCCCGGUGUAGCGGUGAAAUGCGUAGAGAUUGGGAGGAACACCAGUGGCGAAGGCGACUUACUGGACUGUAACUGACGCUGAGGCGCGAAAGUGUGGGGAGCAAACAGGAUUAGAUACCCUGGUAGUCCACACUGUAAACGAUGAAUGCUAGGUGUAGGGGGUAUCGACCCCUUCUGUGCCGCAGUCAACACAAUAAGCAUUCCGCCUGGGGAGUACGGCCGCAAGGUUGAAACUCAAAUGAAUUGACGGGG
rnacentral:rRNA from 1 species